UAUGGCCAUAUCACGUUGAAACACCGGCUUCUGUACGAUCAUCGAAGUUAAGCAAUGUCAAGCCUCGGUAGUACCUCGAUGGGGGACCACUUGUGAAUACCAGUUGCUGUAA